rnacentral:rRNA from 1 species
GCCCAGCCGUAAACUUUUACUUACACCCAAAUCGCCUGGGAACUACGAGCGAAGCUUAAAACCCAAGGGACUUGACGGUACCCCACAUCCACCUAGAGGAGCCUGUCCUAUAAUCGAUAAUCCACGUUCAACCUCACCAUUUCUAGCCCAUCAGCUUGUAUACCUCCGUCCUCAGCUUACCUCGUGAGUGAUAUCUAGUAAGCUUAAUGCCACUACGCCAACACGUCAGGUCAAGGUGCAGCAAAUGAAAUGGGAAGAGAUGGGCUACACUCUCUAAUCUAGAAGACACGAAAGACUACUCAUGAAACCUAGUCGGAAGGCGGAUUUAGAAGUAAAAAGAAAAUAGCAUAUUCUUUUUAACCCGGCACUGGGGUGUGUACACACCGCCCGUCACCCUCUUCACAAACCCAAAAAAGUACCUAACUACACUUAUUUAACCAGAAGAGGCAAGUCGUAACAUGGUAAGUAUACCGGAAGGUGUGCUUGGAAA